GCUUUACUGUAGCCUGGAAUUGGGUUCGGGCUUCGCUUGCGCAGGAUAGGUGGGAGGCUUGAAGCUGCCCUUGUGGGGGUAGUGGAGCCAAUGGUGAGAUACCACUCUGGCGAGGCUAGAAUUCUAACCUUAUACCGUAAUCCGGUAAGGAACCGUUCAGGUGGGCAGUUUGACUGGGGCGGUCGCCUCCUAAAGUGUAACGGAGGCGCGCAAUGGUGGCUCUCAGACUGGUCGGAAAUCAGUCGUCGAGUGCAAUGGCAUAAGACGCCUGACUGCGAGACCUGACAAGUCGAGCAGAGACGAAAGUCGGUCUUAGUGAUCCGGUGGUCCGCGUGGAAUCGCCAUCGCUCAACGGAUAAAAGGUA
rnacentral:rRNA from 1 species